rnacentral:tRNA from 2 species
GGCCCCUUAGCUCAGUUGGUUAGAGCAGGCGACUCAUAAUCGCUUGGUCGCUGGUUCAAGUCCAGCAGGGGCCA